GCCGGGUGUGGUGGUUCACAUCUGUAAUCCCAACAGCUCAGGAGGCUGAGGCAAGAGAAUUGUGAGUUCGAAGCCAGCCUCAGCAACUUAGUGAGGCACCAAGCAACUCAGCUAGACCCUGUCUCUA
rnacentral:sRNA from 1 species